UGAGAGGAGCUGUCCUUAGUACGAGAGGACCGGGAUGGACGUACCGCUGGUGCAUCAGUUGUUCCGCCAGGAGCAUGGCUGAGUAGCUACGUACGGACGGGAUAAGCGCUGAAAGCAUCUAAGCGUGAAGCCCCCCUCAAGAUGAGAUUUCCCAGUAUGUAAGACCCCUUGAAGACGACGAGGUAGAUAGGUUGGAGGUGGAAGCACGGUAACGUGUGGAGCUGACCAAUACUAAUCGGUCGAGGGCUUAUCCAAA
rnacentral:rRNA from 1 species